GCAUGGGAGACGAGCGAGGGAGGACCGCGGAGCGCGCCCGCCGCGGACGGGGCCCGCUGCCCGGCCUCGGCGGCCGCCAACUCCCUCCUCCUCCGAAUCCUCCUCCUUCACCGCCGCCGCGAGGCCGCCGGCCGCCGAGCGCGAGCGGGAGGUGGAAUCUGACUGCCAGGGCGCAUCCCUCUCCAGGGUUGAGGCCCAAGAGCGGAGCCGAGCACCCCACCCAGGUCCCACCUGAGACCCCUGAAGGGGCAGAAAAGAGAGAAACCACCACGAGGAGACCGGACAGCGAACCAGGGACCCGCCGGAGGACGUUUAAGGGGUUUGAGGAGACUGUUGCGUUGCCCCUAAUCAGUUGAGAGCUUUGGGUAACGAGGGGAUGAAAAGAUCUGGCAAAUACUUCUCUAAGUGUGGGAGGGUGAGGCUGGAGCGGCACUGUGCAUUCAGGUGAGCCAUCCAGCACGCAACAAACAGGCGUUGUAAUUCUUAAAACCACCCACCCGCAUUCCAGACAAAGGACCCACAAGAAGAGGUGACUGCUUCCCCUGCUCCCAUCCCUCCCCCUGCCCAGCAAUGUGCUGGUAAAUAAAUGUUGAACAACCAGAUCUGGAGGCGGGAGAUCUCAGCUGUGACAAAACCCAGUUUAUGUGGUGCCAGUGUUCCCACCGACCCACGGCAGAGCUGGGAAGAGAUGCGCGCACCAGCUCUCGGGCCUGUAAGGGCCAGCCCUGGCACACCUCUGCAUCAGCUCUUUGUCAGAUGCCUUCAGAAUGCGGCCAUAAUUCAAGGUGCACAAACAACCGCAGCUCUUUCCAUCCUGUUCCCACUUGCUGCCAGUUGUCUGUCUAUUAUCAAAUGACCCCGAGGAGAGAAUCUGUCACCAUUGUCCUUUUAGGGGAAAGCUCUCCUUGGAGGCUAUCUCGAAGCCACUGAGCAGCCCAUAGGCUGGCUACCUCUGAGCCAGGUGUCCUCUCCUACUCCAUCUGUGGCUAGGAUGGACGGCUCACAUGCUAGACAACAUGGUCACCCAUGCUGAAGAAACAGACUGCGUUGCUACCUGCUUAGGGGGUUGUGGUCGGGGCGGCCUCUUUCGAAAGGAGGCUGUAAGCACGACAGGUUUUCAAGCGGUGGUCUCUCUGACGUACUGUUCUCAGCUCUUCAGUGAGAUCCUCUCGGCCACUACACAGAGCUUUGGGACAGCUUCUCCGCCACAUACCCCAAGGAAUAUCUUGGGUAGGUGCCAACAACUGCAAACAGGAGAAUGGACAGGUUAGGACUGGAUAGGAUUCAAAAGCCCCUCAUUUAGGGGGAGAAACCCUAUUAAGUUCAGUGAACAUUUAUCAAGUGCCGUUGUUUCAAACCAAUAGUGAUGAUUGGAGAGUAAGGAAAUCAUCUCAUAGGAGGAUGUCAUAGACGAUCCAGGAGAAGGGUUUCCAGACUACACUCAAUCCAAACUCCACAGAUUCUGCUUUCCUAAUCUGAGAAGUAGAACGGCGUGACUCAGCUCUGCCGAGAACACUUCUAUACUGGUAGAAGCGUGCCCCUUGCCUCAAUGUGCUGGGGUGGGAGUGGGGUCGAGGAGAACUAUUCUCAACAACGUGAGGGACACAGAGUCAAUGCUGACUGGCUCACGGAGACACUUGAAAUCUUCUUUUACACAGUGGAAGCCAUCCCUUUUGUUAAUUCUGGAGAUAGUUGAUGUAUUCCCAUGAUGGAUGCGCUACCUGAUUCUCCCAGCUUUGGAUAGGUGGCUGCGCUACAACAAACAAUAACUAUUUUGACAAGAUUUUCAAUAUUGUAGACCAUUAAAUAAUCCUCUCUAGACCAGCAAAGCUGCUUGACUGUUAGCAAGAUCGUAUCACAUAAAGUGAUAUAUGCUACAUCAACCAUAUACACAUACAGAAGAAAAGAGAGCGAAGGGGAAGGAGCGAGAAUGAACAGUUGAAACUGCACAGGAAAAUUCUAAUGGGAGACUUGAUUCUACUUUCAUUCAGUCUCUUAGUGCUUCUUCUGUCGAGAGCAUCUAACCCCACAGUGUGCGCAUCCAGUGUUUACAGGUGCUAGUGUCUCACCCAUGGAGGCUGAAAGGUCAAAAUGACAAGGAGAAAGCAGCCUGGUUUCAACCCACUCCUUUUGUAAACAGAGGGGCAGACUAGGAUUCGGAACUGAUGAUCACGCGUACCCAAGAACAGCCCAUGGUAAAACCAGAAGGCCCACAGUGCAUACGGCUGGGGAGCAUUCUGGAGAAGACAGGUGGAGGAAAUACUAAGGUCAGCCUUGAUGAUCGACCCGUGGCUUAGCGAAGGCUGCCUCGGAGCAGAAGUGAUAUCAGUUUACCUAUCUAUUAAAUCACCAUCGAAAAAAGAAUAUCUCCAUUGAACCAAGGCACCAAUCACAAGAGUGAGAUUACUUUUCUUUAAAGAACACAAGUGAUUUUCAAGGACAGGGGCAAUAAGGAAGGGAUAAGGAUUGUGGGUGAUAGUCUCCGAUGCUCAGAUGCUCAGUCUCAGGCCACGGUGACCACCAAUGAACUGAUGGAUCUGCAUCUUGAGCAACAGCAAGAUAUUAUGGAGGAGGAGGUCUUGUCUGCAGAGGAGAAAAAGGCGGAGGAAACUCUCACCUCAAAUGAGAUCAGGGAGAUGUGUAAAAUGUGGGAAACAGUGCAAUUCUGUAGAAAAGCACCACCUGAAUAAGGCUGUAGCAAUGAGAGCAAUGAACGUUUAACGACAAUGUAGUAUCACAUUUCCACGAAAUCCUCAAAAGGAGGCAAAAGCAAGUGUCACUGAAUAGGUUCCUUGUUAAAGCUGCACCAAAAGAAAAAGAUUCCAUUGAGCCAAAAGACAGCAG